UCCACAAAUCAACCAUCAGAACUUUUUACUAUUUAUACAUCUUAGCAAACAAAGGAAUUUUUACAUAUUCCACACUUUGCAACAACACGGUUCUCUUCUUUAAAGCUUCCCGGUUUGUCUCUCCCCUCGCUGGGUUGGUGUCGGGCGGCCGAAGCCCCUCUCGCCGCCCCGGUGCCUUUCCUUUCCCCGGGGCGCUGCGGGCGGCCCCCGCAGCUCGCAAGGGUGAAUCGCUGCCAGCCUUUGGCAGUGCUGGCCGGUCCUAGAAAUCCGGCUGGCUGCUGGAGCGGCUGCCAGGAGCCUCCCUCGGGCCGUCAUGUGAGCAGUGUAAACAGCCCGGCCAGGCGAGUGGGCGGCUCGGCGCUCGCCAGUGGGGCAGAGUUCAGUGCCUGCGGCGGGGUUACUGCCGAGCGCCGGCGUUGCCAUAGCGAGCAUUGCAUAACGCUGGCAGCGGCCACCGAGGGCCCCGCGUUCCUUCUGCUCGCUCUUCUGUCAGGACAGUGAGACCUCCUGCCCCUGACUGGAAGUCUGUCCUUGAACCAGUGGUGCCAGGACUUGUGUGAGCUGGACACAGCUUCUUGAUGAAUGGCUUAACACACCCUGUCUCAAGCUCUGCCCCACUGAGCCCUUUUCUUCAAAGCAUUUUACAAAACAAAAUAAACUAAGGGAGGAGUGAAGUCCUGUGGUCUGCUCCUCAGAGAGUCCUGGUUUUGCUGAGUUCCUCAGUUCCAAAUGGACAGAACUGUUGACCAUAUUCAUAAUUUUGGAGUUUUAUGCAGUAUUGUGUAUAUUUUGGGCUAGACCUUCAAGUCAAGACCAAGAUAUUGAACUUGAUUCAAUACCCCAUGGGAAGACAGUACAAGGAGUAAAGGGUUCCCUGUACCCAGGAUUGCUGAGACACGUCUUAGAUUUCCAUCCAGAAAUCAGAGAAUGAAGAGAACACUUUUCUUAGAAGGAUCCCAAACUUCUUUACGUAGGGGUAAACGUAUAAUUAUUUCCAUUUCACCGGUGUGAACACCAGAAGAUAAAAAUGCUGUGACUAAAUAUCAAUUGAGAAAUAAUUGAGUUGAAUUUUGUUUCCUGUCUUACACAGCAGGGCCUGAUGCCUUCUCCAAACUAUUUUUUUAAAGUUACUUUUUAAAAUUAGCUUUAGCCAUCAUAGCUUCUAUGUAUUUCUGGUCUUGAAAGGAACCAUCAAUUGUUUUUGUUUGAAGACAUUGAAUAUGAACUUGUUCCUACAGAGCUUUGUGCUGUAAUUUAUCAACAAGGAGCUGAGGCACAGACGUCAAAUGAAUACCAGAUUUCAAAUUAUGAUAAGCAAUUGUGUCAUCCCUGUGAAUAGACAUCAGUCUCUGCUGAGAAAUCAUCAAUAAUUCAUUUUAAAAAAUAAAUGAGUACAGGGCCAUUUGGAUAGGUCUUUGCAAACAGCCAGUCCUGUGUUCUGUCAUAAUUCCUGUGAAUUU